GCAAGUCGAGCGCACCCUUCGGGGCGAGCGGCGGACGGGUGAGUAACGCGUAGGAAUCUACCUGGUAGUGGGGGACAACUUGGGGAAACUCAAGCUAAUACCGCAUACGCCCUAAGGGGGAAAGUGGGGGAUCUUCGGACCUCACGCUAUCGGAUGAGCCUGCGUAGGAUUAGCUAGUUGGUGGGGUAAAGGCUCACCAAGGCGACGAUCCUUAGCUGGUCUGAGAGGAUGAUC
rnacentral:rRNA from 1 species